GCUGGCCAGCCCCGGGCCCGGGACGCGGGCGAUGCCCGAGCGCAGCCGCGCCCCCUGUUUCCGUGGAGCAAGUGGAAGAAGAGGAUGUCCAUGUCGUCCAUAUCGGCGGCCACCGCGCGGAGGCCGGUGUUUGACGACAAGGAAGACGUGAACUUCGACCACUUCCAGAUCCUGCGUGCCAUCGGGAAGGGCAGCUUCGGCAAGGUGUGCAUUGUGCAGAAGCGGGACACGGAGAAGAUGUACGCCAUGAAGUACAUGAACAAGCAGCAGUGCAUUGAGCGCGACGAGGUGCGCAACGUCUUCCGGGAGCUGGAGAUCCUGCAGGAGAUCGAGCACGUCUUCCUGGUGAACCUCUGGUACUCCUUCCAGGAUGAGGAGGACAUGUUCAUGGUGGUGGACCUGCUUCUAGGUGGGGACCUGCGCUACCACCUGCAGCAGAAUGUCCAGUUCUCUGAGGACACGGUGAAGCUGUAUGUCUGUGAGAUGGCGCUGGCCCUUGACUACCUGCGCAGUCAGCACAUCAUCCACAGGGACGUCAAGCCUGACAACAUCCUGCUGGAUGAGCAAGGGCACGCACACCUGACCGACUUCAACAUCGCCACCAUCAUAAAGGAUGGCGAGAGGGCGACGGCCUUAGCUGGCACCAAGCCCUACAUGGCUCCGGAGAUCUUCCACUCCUUCGUCAAUGGUGGGACUGGCUAUUCCUUCGAGGUGGACUGGUGGUCAGUGGGGGUGAUGGCCUACGAGCUGCUGCGAGGAUGGCGGCCCUAUGACAUCCACUCGAGCAACGCCGUGGAGUCGCUGGUGCAGCUGUUCAGCACCGUGAGUGUCCAGUACGCACCCACCUGGUCCAAGGAGAUGGUGGCCCUGCUUCGGAAGCUUCUCACCGUCAACCCUGAGCACCGGUUCUCCAGCCUCCAGGACAUGCAGGCAGCCCCGUGGCUGGCCAACGUGCCGUGGGAUGAGCUGAGCGAGAAGAAGGUGGAGCCAGGAUUCGUGCCCAACAAGGGCCGCCUGCACUGCGACCCCACCUUUGAGCUGGAGGAGAUGAUCCUGGAGUCGCGGCCCCUGCACAAGAAGAAGAAGCGGCUGGCCAAGAACAGAUCUCGAGACGGCAGCAGGGACAGCUCCCAGUCAGCGACUUUCUCGGAGCAGACUUGGUGCACCUGGGCACUUGUCAUCAAAAUGAGGCUGGGGGUGCAACUCGGCGAGGUGCCUGGACUCCCGGGGCAGGAGCCCACCCCUUCUUGAUGAUGAAGGUCAGUCCCCACCCGUCAGGAUGGUGCCCCCUCUGGGAGCCACCCCAGUUGCCCGCACGGUGCUCUGAGCAGCACUUCACAGAGAGGAGAGGGCCCUAGAGAUCUGCAGAGCACCCCCCGCCUUCAGCCCAGCAGCCUGCACCUGCUGCACAUACUGCUGAGGAACCCCGAGACUGGCAGAGACCCCGGGGGGACUGGGCUGAGCAACCGCAGGGCUCACGCCUACCACCCAGGUGUCCAGCCACGCGCUCAGAAGACGCUGCUCAGGACUGGGAAGGUGAGCUGCUUCCCAGGCCCCGAGACACCUGCCACAGAGCCUGCUCUCUCCUGCUGGAGGGAGGACUAGCAGUGACACCCCGAGGACCUCAUCACUGGGUCCCUAAGAGUACUGGUAACGGAACAUGCUCCUACGUGUCAGAGGGCUUGUCUCCCACGCUCUGGGGCACUGACUGACAAGCGCCCCAGGACCUGUCACUUCCUCCUACCCGGCAGAGUGAGCGCGGUGCCACCGGGGGUAUUAGGGGGAGCACCAUCUGGUGACAGAACAGGGGCAAGAAUCUGGAAGCACACUGUAGCCCUUGGGCGAAUGCCCGUGUCCCUGCCCCUGGCUGGCUGUGCAGGAAACAGUGUCCCGCCUCUCGGUGGCCACGGGUGCUGUCCCUGCCCGUCUCUGCUGGUGGAUCUGCCCUGGGUCAGCCACUGCAGGUGCAGCUACCCAGGGCCUACCCUCAUGGCCCUCAGCCGUCUGGUUCACGCAGGGCCACGAUGGGACCACCACCCUCUUGCCCUAAGGUGGAAAGACAGAACCAAGGCCAGAGUCUGAUCUGUCACUGCCCUGACACCCACUUGGCUCCCCGUCCAGGUCUCCCAGUGAGGUGGUCUGCACCCAGGCUCACCGUCCGUCAGCUCUGCGUCAGUCCCCUGGCGUGUGCGCGUGCUGGGGUGUGAUCCCAGGCCCCCGUCGGCCGACUUCAGCACACAGUGCACCUCACUUGUCACCGUGCUGUACCCUGGGUCUCCAGAACGACCUCGGUAGCCAAGACGUCACCCUUCGCCAUCAUGGUCCCACUUCCCUCCUGUGAAGGCAGCUGUGUCGUGGGCCAGGGGCUGACGGGAGACAGGGCUGCCUGCAGCGGGGUCGCCUUGGCUGCCUUCAGCCCCUGGGAGACAGCGCGGUGGGUCUCUGGGCUGCUGGGCCCGGGCCAGGGGCUCUAGCUGAGCAUGUGCUGGGACCCUCUUCCACCAGGCCUGCGAGCUCACAGCCUCCGGGGUGCAGACAUGGCUCCUGGGCAAGCGCGGGGUGCCCAAGGCAUGCCGUCGCUGUGACAGGGGGCCUUCCUCGAGGACCGCCAGUUCCCGUCAUGGCUCAGGUCAGAGGUGGGGUAGGAUCUGGAAAGGUGACCCGUCCACCCUGGACCUGCAUGUGGACACUGCAUUCGUCUCUGACCCCCAGGAACACGGGGCCCUGUGGCACAUCUCCACAGACCCUGCUGCCACCCUGACCCAUGGCCCGUGGGUACAGUUGCCCACCUCACUCUGCAGGUUGAGGGCAGCUGCCUGCCUUCUGCUCCUGGGCGUGUGGCCUCCCCACAGGUGUGACUGCAUCUCCUGUCCUGUGCCCCUCCCCAGAUCACUCCUGACCACCCCACCGAAGGGCGCACCCUGGGCCCCUACGUGGAGUCGUGGUCUUCUGGAUCUUGGCUCUUGAGCCCCCUUACCCUUCCCUUCAGCACUCUCUCAGGGUGGCCUGGAACCACCAGGAGGGACCAGGCAGGUUUCCAAGAGCUGCCCCGCCCAGGUGGAACCCUGAUCCUGCGCUUCUGCCAGGAAAUGGAUUGCCAGCCGUGGGAAAGUCCUCAUCGGGAGCUGCCCCUCGCCAGCCUCCUGUUGCCCACCGGCAGCGCCCCCGCCGGCUCCCAGGCCUGCUCUCCUGGCCUCCUGGUCCAUGUUAUCCAGGCCUCUUCAGCAAGUGCCUCUCUGACCUGAGCAGGCCCAGCACUGCCCCGCUGGCCACGCUGCUGGAGGGGCCAGCAGCGGACCCUGAGCAAGGCUGGGUGGCAUGACCUCUCCGCUCCGCAGGGAGGGGGCUGCUCUUCCCCCAGGGAGAACGACUUCCUGCAGGACUGCCUCGAUGCCAUCCAGCAGGACUUCGUGAUUUUCAACAGAGAGAAGCUGAAGAGGAGCCAGGAACUUGCCAGCGAGCCUCUCCCGGCCCCAGAGACUGCAGCUGCAGCGGAGGCCCCGG